AGAAACGACUUUUGGAGUUUCAGGAACCUUAGGCAAUUCUAGCUUAGGUAACUCUGGUACUUUAGGAAUCUCGGGUUUUGUCAAUUCAGGAACCUUAGGCUGCUCUAGUUUAGGUAACUCGGGGACUUUAGGGAGGUUGGGUUUUGGCAUUUCGGGAAUCCUAGGCAACUCAGGUUUAGGUAAUUCAGGAACUUUAGGAAACUCGGGUUUUGUCAAUUCAGGAGUUUUAGGUAAUUGUGGCUUAGGUAACUCAGGGAUUUUGGGCAAUUCAGGUUUUGGCAAUUCGGAAACUUUAGAUAGCCUUGGUUCAUGUAACUCAGGGGCUUUAGGAAACUCGUGUUUUUGAAGUUCGGGAACCUUAGGAACCUCCGACUUAGGUAAUUCAGGGGCUUUAGGAAGCUCAGGUUUCGGCAAUUCGGGAAUAUUAAACUUAGGUAGUUCAGGCUUUGACAUUUCAGGUACUUUAGGAAUUUCAGGUUUUGUCAAUUCAGGAACCUUAGGUUGCUCUAACUUCGGUGAUUCAGGGAUUUUAGGUAGUUCGGGUUUUGUCAAUUCAGGAACAUUAAACUUAGGCAGUUCAUGCUUUGGCAUUUCAGGUACUUUAGGAAUUUCAGGUUUUGGCAAUUCAGGAACCUUAGGUUGCUCUAGUUUAGGUGAUUCGGGAAUUUUAGGUAGCUCGGGUUUGGGCAAUUCAGGAACAUUAAACUUGGGUAGUUCAGGUUUUGGCAAUUCGGGCACCUUAGGAAUUUCUAACUUUGGCAUUUCAGGUACGUUUGGUAAAUCAGGUUUUGGCAACUCAGGAACAUUAGGCUUUGGUAAUUCAG
rnacentral:lncRNA from 1 species